rnacentral:rRNA from 1 species
UACGUAGGGUGCAAGCGUUGUCCGGAAUUAUUGGGCGUAAAGGGCUCGUAGGCGGUUUGUCGCGUCGGGAGUGAAAACUCAGGGCUUAACCCUGAGCCUGCUUCCGAUACGGGCAGACUAGAGGUAUGCAGGGGAGAAUGGAAUUCCUGGUGUAGCGGUGAAAUGCGCAGAUAUCAGGAGGAACACCGGUGGCGAAGGCGGUUCUCUGGGCAUUACCUGACGCUGAGGAGCGAAAGCGUGGGGAGCAAACAGG